GGAGAAAAGACAGUCUCUUCAGCAAAUGGUGUUGGGAAAACUGGAUAGCAGCAUGUAAGUCAAUGAAGUUAGAAUACUCUCUCACUCCAUAUAUAAAAUUAAACUCAAAAUGGCUUAAAGAUUUAAAUAUAAGACAAGACACGAUAAACCUCCUAGAA